UGAUUGGCCCCUUCACACCACAAAAAAAAAAUACUGGAGUCAACAGGUCCCACCUGUUCCUUGAUUGACUUGUUGACACCUGUCAGAGUGCAUCAGCAUCAGAAGAAGACGAGACUGACUGACUCAAACUGACGGUCUGUGAUUAUCACUGUCCACCGUCUCUUCAUCUGGGACACGUUCGCAAUGAGCCGCAGUAUCUAUUCUUACUUUAGCAUCUGUCUGAUCCAGGUCUGAAAACUUGAGACCUCUGCUCCAAUCGUCGCGUGGCGAGUGGAAAGGACACCUGACAAGCCGGUGACAGAUGGACUGAGAGCUCUGCGGUGGAGGGAUGUCACGUGCGUUUACCUCAGUGAAUGCUGGGAUAAACCCUCCUUUCCCUUAAGCCUGAGCAGGAUCAGGUUGGCUAAGGAAAAGACCUCCGUCCCUGAGAGCACACAGGGAAAAACGCAAAAUAGGAUCAAACUGAUCUGUGGGUCUGAAGAAGAGCAUCAGCUGGAAAAUUCUCUGGUACCAGACGCUGCAGACAACGGCCCAACUGCUCAUCAUCCUCAGGAGGUAACUCACCAAGCCAAACUUACUGCUGUUCCAGAAAGCAUCCCCGAAGCGAGGAUCGUACUGCAAGGUGGACACCGGGCCGUACUACGCGUAGAUGAGAUGAAUCUUACCGCCUCGGCAACAUAACCUGCACACAAGCUGCUCUGACCUGAGAGGCAGCAGGACGCCGUAGCGGAUGAGGACGCCCAGGCCCCACAGG